rnacentral:rRNA from 1 species
AACGAACGCUGGCGGCAGGCUUAACACAUGCAAGUCGAGCGGAGAGAGGUAGCUUGCUACUGAUCUUAGCGGCGGACGGGUGAGUAAUGCUUAGGAAUCUGCCUAUUAGUGGGGGACAACAUUUCGAAAGGAAUGCUAAUACCGCAUACGCCCUACGGGAGAAAGCAGGGGAUCUUCGGACCUUGCGCUAAUAGAUGAGCCUAAGUCGGAUUAGCUAGUUGGUGGGGUAAAGGCCUACCAAGGCGACGAUCUGUAGCGGGUCUGAGAGGAUGGUCCGCCACACUGGGACUGAGACACGGCCCAGACUCCUACGGGAGGCAGCAGUGGGGAAUAUUGGACAAUGGGCGGAAGCCUGAUCCAGCCAUGCCGCGUGUGUGAAGAAGGCCUUAUGGUUGUAAGGCACUUUAAGCGAGGAGGAGGCUACUUUAGUUAAUACCUAGAGAUAGUGGACGUUACUCGCAGAAUAAGCACCGGCUAACUCUGUGCCAGCCGCCGCGGUAAAAC